rnacentral:rRNA from 1 species
CGAUACGACCGUACCGCAAACCGACACUGGUGCGCGAGAUGAGUAUUCUAAGGCGCUUGAGAGAACUCAGGAGAAGGAACUCGGCAAAUUGACACCGUAACUUCGGAAGAAGGUGUGCCCUAUUAGUGUGAAGUGAACAACGGAGCAUGAAUGGGUUGCAAAAAAUCGGUGGCUGCGACUGUUUAUUAAAAACACAGCACUCUGCAAACACGAAAGUGGACGUAUAGGGUGUGACGCCUGCCCGGUGCUGGAAGAUUAAAUGAUGGGGUGCAAGCUCUUGAUUGAAGUCCCAGUAAACGGCGGCCGUAACAAUAACGGUCCUAAGGUAGCGAAAUUCCUUGUCGGGUAAGUUCCGACCUGCACGAAUGGCGUAACGAUGGCCACACUGUCUCCUCCUGAGACUCAGCGAAGUUGAAAUGUUUGUGAUGAUGCAAUCUCCCCGCGGAAAGACGGAAAGACCCCAUGAACCUUUACUGUAGCUUUGUAUUGGACUUUGAACAGAUCUGUGUAGGAUAGGUGGGAGGCUUUGAAGCAGGGUCGCUAGAUCUUGUGGAGCCAACGUUGAAAUACCACCCUGGUGUGUUUGAGGUUCUAACCUAGGUCCAUUAUCUGGAUCGGGGACAGUGCAUGGUAGGCAGUUUGACUGGGGCGGUCUCCUCCCAAAGCGUAACGGAGGAGUUCGAAGGUACGCUAGUUACGGUCGGACAUCGUGACGAUAGUGCAAUGGCAUAAGCGUGCUUAACUGCGAGACUGACAAGUCGAGCAGAUGCGAAAGCAGGACAUAGUGAUCCGGUGGUUCUGUAUGGAAGGGCCAUCGCUCAACGGAUAAAAGGUACUCUGGGGAUAACAGGCUGAUACCGCCCAAGAGUUCAUAUCGACGGCGGUGUUUGGCACCUCGAUGUCGGCUCAUCUCAUCCUGGGGCUGUAGCCGGUCCCAAGGGUAUGGCUGUUCGCCAUUUAAAGAGGUACGUGAGCUGGGUUUAAAACGUCGUGAGACAGUUUGGUCCCUAUCUUCCGUGGGCGCUGCAGAUUUGAGGAAGCCUGCUCCUAGUACGAGAGGACCGGAGUGGACACACCUCUGGUGUAUCGGUUGUCACGCCAGUGGCAUUGCCGAGUAGCUAAGUGUGGAAGAGAUAACCGCUGAAAGCAUCUAAGCGGGAAACUCGUUUCAAGAUGAGAUCUGCCGGGGCCUUGAGCCCCCUGAAGAGUCGUUCAAGACCAGGACGUUGAUAGGUCAGGUGUGGAAGC